UUGCCCACUUUAAGACUGUCUGUUCUUUCAGUGGCCAGUAUAGGGGGAUAAAUUAAAAUGCUCUCUAAAACUCAAGUAAAGGUAUAUGUCUUUGCUUUGUAUCCUGUCUGGAGCAAUAACA